AGGCAUUGAGGCAGCCAGCGCAGGGGCUUCUGCUGAGGGGGCAGGCGGAGCUUGAGGAAACCGCAGAUAAGUUUUUUUCUCUUUGAAAGAUAGAGAUUAAUACAACUACUUAAAAAAUAUAGUCAAUAGGUUACUAAGAUAUUGCUUAGCGUUAAGUUUUUAACGUAAUUUUAAUAGCUUAAGAUUUUAAGAGAAAAUAUGAAGACUUAGAAGAGUAGCAUGAGGAAGGAAAAGAUAAAAGGUUUCUAAAACAUGACGGAGGUUGAGAUGAAGCUUCUUCAUGGAGUAAAAAAUGUAUUUAAAAGAAAAUUGAGAGAAAGGACUACAGAGCCCCGAAUUAAUACCAAUAGAAGGGCAAUGCUUUUAGAUUAAAAUGAAGGUGACUUAAACAGCUUAAAGUUUAGUUUAAAAGUUGUAGGUGAUUAAAAUAAUUUGAAGGCGAUCUUUUAAAAAGAGAUUAAACCGAAGGUGAUUAAAAGACCUUGAAAUCCAUGACGCAGGGAGAAUUGCGUCAUUUAAAGCCUAGUUAACGCAUUUACUAAACGCAGACGAAAAUGGAAAGAUUAAUUGGGAGUGGUAGGAUGAAACAAUUUGGAGAAGAUAGAAGUUUGAAGUGGAAAACUGGAAGACAGAAGUACGGGAAGGCGAAGAAAAGAAUAGAGAAGAUAGGGAAAUUAGAAGAUAAAAACAUACUUUUAGAAGAAAAAAGAUAAAUUUAAACCUGAAAAGUAGGAAGCAGAAGAAAAAAGACAAGCUAGGAAACAAAAAGCUAAGGGCAAAAUGUACAAACUUAGAAGAAAAUUGGAAGAUAGAAACAAGAUAGAAAAUGAAAAUAUUGUCAAGAGUUUCAGAUAGAAAAUGAAAAACAAGCUAAGACAAGUAUUGGAGAAGUAUAGAAGAUAGAAAAAUAUAAAGCCAAAAAUUGGAUAAAAUAGCACUGAAAAAAUGAGGAAAUUAUUGGUAACCAAUUUAUUUUAAAAGCCCAUCAAUUUAAUUUCUGGUGGUGCAGAAGUUAGAAGGUAAAGCUUGAGAAGAUGAGGGUGUUUACGUAGACCAGAACCAAUUUAGAAGAAUACUUGAAGCUAGAAGGGGAAGUUGGUUAAAAAUCACAUCAAAAAGCUACUAAAAGGACUGGUGUAAUUUAAAAAAAACUAAGGCAGAAGGCUUUUGGAAGAGUUAGAAGAAUUUGGAAGGCCUUAAAUAUAGUAGCUUAGUUUGAAAAAUGUGAAGGACUUUCGUAACGGAAGUAAUUCAAGAUCAAGAGUAAUUACCAACUUAAUGUUUUUGCAUUGGACUUUGAGUUAAGAUUAUUUUUUAAAUCCUGAGGACUAGCAUUAAUUGACAGCUGACCCAGGUGCUACACAGAAGUGGAUUCAGUGAAUCUAGGAAGACAGCAGCAGACAGGAUUCCAGGAACCAGUGUUUGAUGAAGCUAGGACUGAGGAGCAAGCGAGCAAGCAGCAGUUCGUGGUGAAGAUAGGAAAAGAGUCCAGGAGCCAGUGCGAUUUGGUGAAGGAAGCUAGGAAGAAGGAAGGAGCGCUAACGAUUUGGUGGUGAAGCUAGGAAAAAGGAUUCCAGGAAGGAGCGAGUGCAAUUUGGUGAUGAAGGUAGCAGGCGGCUUGGCUUGGCAACCACACGGAGGAGGCGAGCAGGCGUUGUGCGUAGAGGAUCCUAGACCAGCAUGCCAGUGUGCCAAGGCCACAGGGAAAGCGAGUGGUUGGUAAAAAUCCGUGAGGUCGGCAAUAUGUUGUUUUUCUGGAACUUACUUAUGGUAACCUUUUAUUUAUUUUCUAAUAUAAUGGGGGAGUUUCGUACUGAGGUGUAAAGGGAUUUAUAUGGGGACGUAGGCCGAUUUCCGGGUGUUGUAGGUUUCUCUUUUUCAGGCUUAUACUCAUGAAUCUUGUCUGAAGCUUUUGAGGGCAGACUGCCAAGUCCUGGAGAAAUAGUAGAUGGCAAGUUUGUGGGUUUUUUUUUUUUACACGAAUUUGAGGAAAACCAAAUGAAUUUGAUAGCCAAAUUGAGACAAUUUCAGCAAAUCUGUAAGCAGUUUGUAUGUUUAGUUGGGGUAAUGAAGUAUUUCAGUUUUGUGAAUAGAUGACCUGUUUUUACUUCCUCACCCUGAAUUCGUUUUGUAAAUGUAGAGUUUGGAUGUGUAACUGAGGUGGGAGGUAACAGCACAAUAUCUUUGAACUAUAUACAUCCUUGAUGUAUAAUUUGUCAGGAGCUUGACUUGAUUGUAUAUUCAUAUUUACACGAGAACCUAAUAUAACUGCCUUGUCUUUUUCAGGUAAUAGCCUGCAGCUGGUGUUUUGAGAAGCCCUACUGCUGAAAACUUAACAAUUUUGUGUAAUAAAAAUGGAGAAGCUCUAAA
ensembl:lncRNA MALAT1 metastasis associated lung adenocarcinoma transcript 1